GCAAGCGUUAUCCGGAUUCACUGGGUUUAAAGGGUGCGUAGGCGGGCAGGUAAGUCCGUGGUGAAAUCUCUGAGCUUAACUCAGAAACUGCCAUGGAUACUAUUUGUCUUGAAUAUUGUGGAGGUGAGCGGAAUAUGUCAUGUAGCGGUGAAAUGCUUAGAUAUGACAUAGAACACCAAUUGCGAAGGCAGCUCACUACACAGUCAUUGACGCUGAGGCACGAAAGCGUGGGGAUCAAACAGG
rnacentral:rRNA from 1 species